rnacentral:rRNA from 1 species
UAUGCUAUAAUAAACCACGCCCACCAAAAAAGUACAAGCAAAAACUAAAAACUUAAAGGACCUGGCGGUACUCUACAUCAACCUAGAGGGGCCUGUCUGUUCAACCGAUAAUCCGCGAAAAACCCAACCGCCUCUAACAAAUUUUAGCCUAUAUACCGCCGUCAUCAGCACAUUUUUUGAAAGAUGUGACCAAACAGCCACAGCUCUAAUACGUCAGGUCGAGGUGUAGCACAUGAGAAGGCCAAGAUUGGCCACAGUACCACACACGUACUAGUAACCCACAAUGAAAUACGUAACAGAGAUGGAUUUAGCAGUAAGAGGGCCAACGAACACCCCACUGAAAUAUCACGCACUUGAGU